rnacentral:lncRNA from 1 species
UCCGACUGCAUGAAUAGCAAAUGAAAAGAAAACAACGCAUGGACCCCAUGUUUAAAAUAUUUGAUGGGAAAGAAAUGUAGAGGGAUGCCAGGAGCAGUUCAGGAAGGGCCUGUGUUCCAGCCCCAAGCAAUGGCUUUGAUUAUGAAGGCCAUGUGCAGCCAGCAUGGAGCUAUUUACUGAGAAGUAAGUGUAAGGGGAGCAUGGCAACUGACAGGCAGGUCAGGGCGCUGCCAUGAUACAAGGGAGGAAAGGUGAAGGCAAGAAUGUGAGCGUAAUAAUGGUGAGGGAGAGGCAUGGAAAGACACUGUGUUUCUAUUUCCUGUCUGCCUCCGGAAGACUGAAGCUGUGGACACUCUCCUCGCAGAGAUAUCACAGUUUAGCAAGAUUCAUUAGGUGAAAAGGACAAGUUUAAAAACAGAAGAAAGAAGGACACAAGGAAAAACAAAGUCUUAAUGUCGGUAAUAGAAGAAAACGCAGAUGAUAAAGCCAGCAUCCCAGUGGUUUUGUUAAAACGUGGAAGAGGAAGUGGGGUAAAAC